UGUUAUAAAUGACAAGGUGAAGUUGUUCAGAGCAAAAUGACAUUUUUCGACUUGACAUUUCUCUUCCGGGGGCUCCGGUAUAAAAAUCGGGGAGGGCUGGUGCGGGGUAUUGAAAUUUGUAUGCAGAGAGUGACAGAUGUCCCCCACAAUGUCGCCCAGCAAAAGCGAUAAAAAUCAACCUUCUAAAUACAUUAUCCUUGGCUAGAACUGAAAACACGCAACUCUUCAGCCUUCAGUUAAUUCCAAGGUUAUUAGACUCUAUACAGGUUACGACAGAGCGAUUGAGAGGGUCACCAUUUUGUAAACCUUGUUUACAAUUUGUCUGUCAAAAUCGAUGCCGGUCAGCUGAUGCUGGGAAUAAACAACAUAAAUAAGAUUGCAGAAGCUGAAACUAACGCUUCAUGUUUUCUUCAUCCUAUCACGUUCCAUCGUUAAUAGAAUACGACUUCCUUGUUGACCUGUUCAAUGCUGAGUUUGAAAUUGCAGUUACAGCUUCUGGGGACGAGGAUUUAUGCCAUCUAGCAGCAGCAUUGAUAAAAAGGGUUAGAAAUUAUGCAGUCCUGAACGCGACCCUACUGCGAUGUGUGGGAAGCGGCGAGGCUCCAUGCCGAUUCGCCACAAUCAUCGGGUUCAGGGUGAUCGUCUAUGCUGCUCCUGUUUCAGUUCCGUAUCAUAGCAAACGAAUGUUCGUGCUGUUGUCUUGUUCCAGUGGUAGAUAAUUCAUGCCAACUCGGGUGCAGCUUAAUUUAAGUGCUAGAGCGAAAAGACGAGAGAUAAAUGUCGUCCCGGUAGUGUUAAACAACGGCGGGGGUCCAUUUCAUUUGUGCUCGAGUCAAGUACAAUACAGAGCGAAUAUGAUGUUUGAAGCAUUUGUGGUGGGUACAUACGUGACAUACAUAGGUAGGGGGAUCAUAGCUUACAAAUUCCCACAUUUGUGUGAGGCGAGUGCAUUGCACGGCAGAAAAGAGAGUGUGUAAAAAGGUUGAUCAAGUAGGUGCUCUCGGUAGGGGUGCACGGUGCUGCUGGUGUACGGCCCGUACAGUAUGAGUAUCAAAAUGUUUUGUACAUAGUGUUUAUUUAUAUAAUAUUUUGUGAUUGCGUAAAUUGUUGUGACGAAAGUUAUGAAAAUAACAUAUUGUCAAUGUUAUAGAGGAAAAUCGUAUUUGAUAAAUGCUACCAAAAAACACAAAUAUAUUUGAAGUUUUUUUUCCUAA